CACAAGCGGUGGAGCAUGUGGUUAUUCGAAGCAACGCGAAGAACCUUACCAGGUCUUGACAUCCCGAUGCUAUUUCUAGAGAUAGAAAGUUACUUCGGUACAUCGGUGACAGGUGGUGCAUGGUUGUCGUCAGCUCGUGUCGUGAGAUGUUGGGUUAAGUCCCGCAACGAGCGCAACCCCUAUUGUUAGUUGCCAUCAUUCAGUUGGGCACUCUAGCGAGACUGCCGGUAAUAAACCGGAGGAAGGUGGGAUGACGUCAAAUCAUCAUGCCCCUUAUGACCUGGGCUACACACGUGCUACAAUGGCCGGUACAGACGGAGGCGAAGCCGCGAGGCGGAGCAAAUCCGAAAAAGCCGGUCUCAGUUCGGAUUGCAGGCUGCAAUUCGCCUGCAUGAAGUCGGAAUCGCUAGUAAUCGCAGGUCAGCAUACUGCGGUGAAUACGUUCCCGGGCCUU
rnacentral:rRNA from 1 species